AAGUAUAUGCAUAUUUUAUAUGUAGAAACUGCGAACGGCUCAUUAAAACAGUUAUAAUCUACUUGACAUUUUUUCUAUAAGGAUAACUACGGAAAAGCUGUAGCUAAUACUUGCUUUAGCACUCUUGAUUAAGUUGUUGAGUGUGUACUUGUUAAGCCUUUUAAGAAAAAAGUUAUUAACUUAAGGAAUUAUAACAAAGAAGCAACACGUAAAUGGAUUUUCCAUUUUUUAGUGUGUAUCAAUCGAGUUUCUGACCUAUCAGCUUUUGAUGUUAGGGUAUUGGCCUAACAUGGCUAUGACGGGUAACGGGGAAUUAGAGUUCGAUUCCGGAGAGGGAGCCUGAGAAAUAGCUACCACAUCUAAGGAAGGCAGCAGGCGCGUAAAUUACCCAAUUCUAAAGAAGAGAGGUAGUGACAAGAAAUAACAAUACAAGGCCAAUCUGGCUUUGUAAUUGGAAUGAUGGGAAUUUAAAACCUUCCCAAAACUCAAUUGGAGGGCAAGUCUGGUGCCAGCAGCCGCGGUAAUUCCAGCUCCAAUAGCGUAUAUUAAAAUUGUUGCAGUUAAAACGCUCGUAGUUGAAUUUCAAAGAAUCGAUAUUUUAAGUAGCACUUUGUAGAUUAAUCCACAUAACUGAUACCUCCGCGUAUCGACUUUGUGCGCAUUUUAGCUAUUAUGUGUUCUUUUAAUUAAAAUGAUUCUUUUUAAGAUUCAUCUAUUAAAAAUUUGCUUCGGCAUAAUUUUUUUUGAUGAUCUUGUUACUUUGAGUAAAUUAGAGUGUUCAAAGCAAACAGAUAUAGCAUUUGUGCGUUUGAAUACUACAGCAUGGAAUAACAAAAUUGAACAAGUCAGAAUUUUUUUGUUCUUUUUUCUUAUUUUGGCUUAGUUACGAUUAAUAGGAGUAGCUUGGGGGCAUUUGUAUUCAGAUGUCAGAGGUGAAAUUCUUAGAUUUUCUGGAGACAAACAACUGCGAAAGCAUUUGCCUAAAAUACUUCCAUUAAUCAAGAACGAAAGUUAAGGGAGUGAAGACGAUCAGAUACCGUCGUAAUCUUAACCAUAAACUAUGCCGACUAGGCUUUGGAUGAAAGAUUUUAAAAUAAGAGUUUUUCUUUUCUCUCCGGAGAUUAGAACUCUUAGAUUGCUUCCUUCAGUGCCUUAUGAGAAAUCAAAGUCUUUGGGUUCUGGGGCGAGUAUUCGCGCAAGCGAGAAAGUUAAAAGAAUUGACGGAAGGGCACCACCAGGCGUGGAGCUUGCGGCUUAAUUUGACUCAACACGGGAAAACUCACUAGUUUAAGACAAGAGUAGGAUUGACAGAUUGAGAGCUCUUUCUUGAUUUCUUGGAUGGUGAUGCAUGGCCGUUUUUAGUUCGUGAAUAUGAUUUGUCUGGUUAAUUCCGAUAACGAACGAGAUCUUAACCUGCUAAUUAGCGGCAAAUACGAUAUAUUCUUACGUGGAAUUGCAUACUUAUGGUUUGUCUCUAUUGAGCUGCAUAAUAAUGAAGGAUCGUGAUUGCUUUUCGUGUCAAUCUUUCUUAAUCGAAUCGUUGAUGUGUUUUGUAUAUCUCGUUCUUUCAUUACCUUGCAAUCACUCAUUUGCCUUAUCAUACUGUUUCUCUUUUGCGUAAGAAUGUAUUUGCUUGAUUGUAAAGCUUCUUAGAGGAACGAUGUGUGUCUAACACAAG
rnacentral:rRNA from 1 species